rnacentral:lncRNA from 1 species
UUGGGAUGCAUAGAGAUUUUAUGCAUGCAUUUCAAAAAAUUUUCAACAGAAGAACAUUAGAUUAAACUAUUUAAUUUAUAAAUAUAUGUAUAAUAUCUGAUCUUAAAAGUCUUAUAAAUAAAUCAAUGAUAUGAAUUUAUAUGCAUAAAAAUCUGAAUCUAAAAUGACAAGUAUGUGAACCAAAAAUAGUAUUCAGUAAUAGAUUUAGUCUACCACUUCUAGGGUUCUAAACCCAAUACCUGAGCAUGG